UACGUAGGGGGCAAGCGUUGUUCGGAAUCAUUGGGCGUAAAGGGCGUGUAGGCGGUAUGUUAAGUCCGCUGUGAAAGUCGGGGGCUCAACCCUCGAAUGCCGGUGGAUACUGUCGGGCUAGAGUGCGGAAGAGGCGAGUGGAAUUCCUGGUGUAGCGGUGAAAUGCGCAGAUAUCAGGAGGAACACCAAUUGCGAAGGCAGCUCGCUGGGACGUUACUGACGCUGAGACGCGAAAGCGUGGGGAGCAAACAGG
rnacentral:rRNA from 1 species